rnacentral:rRNA from 1 species
GAUGAACGCUGGCGGCGUGCUUAACACAUGCAAGUCGAACGAUGAAGCCCAGCUUGCCGGGUGGAUUAGUGGCGAACGGGUGAGUAACACGUGAGUAACCUGCCCUUAACUCUGGGAUAAGCCUGGGAAACUGGGUCUAAUACCGGAUAGGAGCGUCCACCGCAUGGUGGGUGUUGGAAAGAUUUAUCGGUUUUGGAUGGACUCGCGGCCUAUCAGCUUGUUGGUGAGGUAAUGGCUCACCAAGGCGACGACGGGUAGCCGGCCUGAGAGGGUGACCGGCCACACUGGGACCGAGACACGGCCCAGACUCCUACGGGAGGCAGCAGUGGGGAAUAUUGCACAAUGGGCGCAAGCCUGAUGCAGCGACGCCGCGUGAGGGAUGACGGCCUUCGGGUUGUAAACCUCUUUCAGUAGGGAAGAAGCGAAAGUGACGGUACCUGCAGAAGAAGCACCGGCUAACUACGUG